rnacentral:rRNA from 1 species
AGUCAAGUAAUUAAGUGCAUGUGGUGGAUGCCUUGGCAGUCAGAGGCGAUGAAAGACGUGAUAGCCUGCGAAAAGCUCCGGGGAGGCGGCAAAUAUCCUUUGAUCCGGAGAUGUCUGAAUGGGGGAACCCACCUACUUUAAGGUAGGUAUUGCAACAUGAAUACAUAGUGUUGCAAGGCGAACGAGGGGAAGUGAAACAUCUCAGUACCCUUAGGAAAAGAAAUCAAUUGAGAUUCCCUCAGUAGCGGCGAGCGAACGGGGAUCAGCCCAUUAAGUUAUGUGUGUUUUAGUGGAACGCUCUGGGAAGUGCGAACGUAGAGGGUGAUAUUCCCGUACACGAAAGGGCACACAUAAUGAUGACGAGUAGGGCGAGGCACGUGAAACCUUGUCUGAAUAUGGGGGACCAUCCUCCAAGGCUAAAUACUCCUGACUGACCGAUAGUGAACCAGUACCGUGAGGGAAAGGCGAAAAGAACCCCUGUGAGGGGAGUGAAAUAGAUCCUGAAACCGCAUGCAUACAAGCAGUGGGAGCACCUUCGUGGUGUGACUGCGUACCUUUUGUAUAAUGGGUCAGCGACUUAUAUUCAGUAGCGAGGUUAACCGUAUAGGGGAGCCGUAGAGAAAUCGAGUCUUAAUAGGGCGUUUAGUUGCUGGGUAUAGACCCGAAACCAGGCGAUCUAUCCAUGAGCAGGUUGAAGGUUGGGUAACACUAACUGGAGGACCGAACCCACUGUCGUUGAAAAGCCAGGGGAUGACUUGUGGAUAGGGGUGAAAGGCUAAUCAAGCCUGGUGAUAGCUGGUUCUCCCCGAAAGCUAUUUAGGUAGCGCCUCGGACGAAUACCAUAGGGGGUAGAGCACUGUUUCGGCUAGGGGGUCAUCCCGGCUUACCAAACCGAUGCAAACUCCGAAUACCUAUGAGUACUAUCCGGGAGACAGACUGCGGGUGCUAACGUCCGUAGUCAAGAGGAAAACAAUCCAGACCGCCAGCUAAGGCCCCAAAAUCAUAGUUAAGUGGGAAACGAUGUGGGAAGGCAUAGACAGCUAGGAGGUUGGCUUAGAAGCAGCCACCCUUUAAAGAAAGCGUAAUAGCUCACUAGUCGAGUCGGCCUGCGCGGAAGAUGUAACGGGGCUAAAACUAUGUGCCGAAGCUGCGGAUGUAUACUUUGUAUACGUGGUAGGGGAGCGUUCUGUAAGCCGAUGAAGGUGUGUUGAGAAGCAUGCUGGAGGUAUCAGAAGUGCGAAUGCUGACGUGAGUAACGACAAAACGGGUGAAAAACCCGUUCGCCGAAAGACCAAGGGUUCCAGUCCAACGUUAAUCGGGGCUGGGUGAGUCGACCCCUAAGGCGAGGCCGAAAGGCGUAGUCGAUGGGAAAAUGGUUAAUAUUCCAUUACUUCUGUGUAAUGCGAUGAGAGGACGGAGAAGGCUAAAUCAGCCUGGCGUUGGUUGUCCAGGUGAAAGGAUGUAGGCAUGUAUCUUAGGCAAAUCCGGGGUACUCUAUGCUGAGAUCUGAUAGCAAGCUGUACUUGUACAGCGAAGUGGUUGAUGCCAUGCUUCCAGGAAAAGUCUCUAAGCUUCAGUUACACAGGAAUCGUACCCGAAACCGACACAGGUGGUCAGGUCGAGUAGACCAAGGCGCUUGAGAGAACUCUGCUGAAGGAACUAGGCAAAAUGGUACCGUAACUUCGGGAGAAGGUACGCUGUUGUUGGUGAUGGAACUCGCUUCCUGAGCUGACGACAGCCGCAGAAACCAGGCCGCUGCAACUGUUUAUUAAAAACAUAGCACUCUGCAAACACGAAAGUGGACGUAUAGGGUGUGAUGCCUGCCCGGUGCUGGAAGGUUAAUUGAUGGGGUUAGCGUAAGCGAAGCUCUUGAUCGAAGCCCCAGUAAACGGCGGCCGUAACUAUAACGGUCCUAAGGUAGCGAAAUUCCUUGUCGGGUAAGUUCCGACCUGCACGAAUGGCAUAAUGAUGGCGGCGCUGUCUCCAGCAGAGGCUCAGUGAAAUCGAAAUCGCUGUGAAGAUGCAGUGUACCCGCGGCUAGACGGAAAGACCCCGUGAACCUUUACUGCAGCUUGACACUGAACUUUGACCUUACUUGUGUAGGAUAGGUGGGAGGCUUUGAAGCUGGAACGCUAGUUCCAGUGGAGCCGUCCUUGAAAUACCACCCUGGUAAUGUUGAGGUUCUAACUCUGUCCCGUGAUCCGGGACGAGGACCGUGUCUGGUGGGUAGUUUGACUGGGGCGGUCUCCUCCUAAAGAGUAACGGAGGAGUACGAAGGUGCGCUCAGCGUGGUCGGAAAUCACGCGUAGAGUAUAAAGGCAAAAGCGCGCUUAACUGCGAGACCCACAAGUCGAGCAGGUACGAAAGUAGGUCUUAGUGAUCCGGUGGUUCUGUAUGGAAGGGCCAUCGCUCAACGGAUAAAAGGUACUCUGGGGAUAACAGGCUGAUACCGCCCAAGAGUUCAUAUCGACGGCGGUGUUUGGCACCUCGAUGUCGGCUCAUCUCAUCCUGGGGCUGAAGCAGGUCCCAAGGGUAUGGCUGUUCGCCAUUUAAAGAGGUACGCGAGCUGGGUUUAGAACGUCGUGAGACAGUUCGGUCCCUAUCUACCGUGGGCGCUGGAAAUUUGAGAGGAUCUGCUCCUAGUACGAGAGGACCAGAGUGGACGAACCUCUGGUGUACCGGUUGUGACGCCAGUCGCAUCGCCGGGUAGCUAUGUUCGGAAGGGAUAACCGCUGAAAGCAUCUAAGCGGGAAGCCUACCUCAAGAUAAGAUUUCCCUAGGACUUUAUGUCCUCUAAAGAGCCGUUCGAGACUAGGACGUUGAUAGGUUGGAUGUGGAAGCAUAGUGAUAUGUGAAGCUGACCAAUACUAAUUGCUCGUGAGGCUUGACUAU